GACCGCGUGGCCUAAUGGAUAAGGCAUCGAACUGUUGGUUCGGGGAUUGCAGGUUCGAAUCCUGUCGCGGUCG